CCAGUAUCUCCAGCAGCUCUGAAGCAAGCUUCGAGGCAGCCAUCUUGGUCCAGCUGCUUCAAUAAAUGGUCUGAAUGUGUUCCCCUCAAAAUUUAUAUGUUGAAACCUAACCUCCAAGGUGAUAGCAUUACAAGGUGGGGGCUAUGGAAGGUGAUUAGUUUACUAGGACAGGACCCUCAUGAAUGGGGUUAGUGUCCUUAUAAAAGAGACCCGAGAACAUCCCUGCCACUUUCUGCCAUUGAGGACACAGCAAGGAAUCCGCAGUCUGCAACCAGAAGAGGGCUUUCACCAGAACCCAACUGUGCUGGCAGCCUGAUCUUGGACUUCCAGCCUUCAGAACUGAACUGAGAGGAGGAAUGGGAAAGUUAAAAUGACAAAGUGGAACAGGGAGAACAGGAGAUUUCAGCCAAGGAAGCCUUUACAGAAGCAGAAGGCACCCCAGCAGCGAGACCAGCACCCCCAAGCUCCUUCCCCGAAACUACAUACACUCAGCAGCUCAGCAUCAGGCUGCCACAGCUUUGAACCGGAAGAAAACAAGGAAUGAUCAGCCCAUCGAGAAAAUGUCUCCCAAGAACCGAGAAUCCCAAGCAGAAAGAAUGAGAGCACACACUUGCACCACCACCAUUUGUUCCAGUAGACCUCAUGUUGCCCAAAACGUCCCAAGAGAUUAAAUAUCUCUGCCCUCGACCCCAUCCCGGCCAACCUUUCCUUCUCCCACAUCAGCCCAUUACCUUCCCACUCAUCCUGCUCCCUCCAGCUCAACACAUCAAGUCAGCUCAACUCAAUCACACAAAGCAAGAGAACUGCAUUUGAGACUCAAAACAUUCUCCAUUCAGUUAUGCAUGGAAGAGCCGAACAUAGCACUGGCAAAUACGUGGCAUAAGCCCUGGUCCUCCCUCCUCUGGUGCCAGAUCAGACAUCAAAAAUCACACUGUUUUCCAGCUGAUCCCAGACAAAGCUCCAAAACCCCUCUCCCAGCUCUCCAGGCAGCCACCAUCCAUCAGUCAAAGCUGUCAGUUGAGAUAAGAUCUACUUGCUAAGUAUAGGAAGACUUAAGUCAAACCAGGACUCUAUAUUCACGUAUUAGGUACAGCAAAGAAUAGUGACCAACUGCACAGUAGUAAGCACUCUGUAGGCAAUGAAUAAAUAUGUUCUAGUGACUUAUGCACAACCUGCCAUGCACCUAUAAAAUGUUCAAAAAUUACAGAAGAACUCUAAUAGGGUGAUUUGUUUGGGGAAUGACCUCAAAUUAUAACUCUUUUAUAUUUAAAUUUACUAAAAACUCUAAAAUUAUGGAAAUACAAACUGGUGGAGCCACUCUGGAAAACAGUAUGGAGGUUCCUCAAAAAAUUAAAAAUAGAACUGCCCUACUACCCAGCAAUUGCACUACUGGGGUACAGGAGUGCUGUUUCAAAGGGGCAGGCACAUGCACCCCAAUGUUUAUAGCAGUGCUAUUGACAAUAGCCAAAGUACGUAAAGAGCCCAAAUGUCUACUGACUAAUGAAUGGAUAAAAAAGAUGUGACAUAUAUCAAUGGAAUAUUACCAACGAUUAAAAAGAAUGAAAUCUUGCCAUUUGCAACAACGUGGAUGGAAUUGGAAUGUAUUAUGCUACGUGAAAUAAGCCAGUCAGAGAAAGACAAACAUGAUUUCACUCAAAUGUGGAAUUUAAGAUACAAAACACAUGAACAUAAAGGAAGGGAAGAAAAAUAAUAUAAAAACAGGGAGGGAGACAAACCAUAAGAAACUCUUACUAAAGACAGAGA